GUAGUCCACGCUGUAAACGGUGGGUACUAGGUGUGGGGUCCAUUCCACGGGUUCCGUGCCGUAGCUAACGCUUUAAGUACCCCGCCUGGGGAGUACGGCCGCAAGGCUAAAACUCAAAGGAAUUGACGGGGCCCCGCACAAGCGGCGGAGCAUGCGGAUUAAUUCGAUGCAACGCGUAGAACCUUACCUGGGUUUGACAUGGAUCGGGAGUGCUCAGAGAUGGGUGUGCCUCUUUUGGGGCGUUCGACAGGUGGUGCAUGGCUGUCGUCAGCUCGUGUCGUGAGAUGUUGGGUUAAGUCCGCAACGAGCGCAACCCUUGUUCACUGUUGCCAGCACGUUAUGGUGGGACGUCAGUGGAGACCGCCGGGUCGAACUCGGAGGAAGGUGGGGAGUGACGUCAAGUCAUCAUGCCCUUACUGUCCAGGGCUUCACGCAUGCUA
rnacentral:rRNA from 1 species